rnacentral:tRNA from 1 species
GUCGCUGUAGCUCAGAUGGUUGGAGUGCCGCUCUGAUAAGGCGGAGGUCGCUGGUUCGAAUCCAGCCGGCGAUAC